UACAGAGGUCUCAAGCGUUGUUCGGAUUCAUUGGGCGUAAAGGGUGUGUAGGUGGCGCGCUAAGUCGGGUGUGAAAUUUCGGAGCUUAACUCCGAAACUGCAGUCGAUACUGGCGUGCUUGAGGACUGGAGAGGAGACUGGAAUUCAUGGUGUAGCAGUGAAAUGCGUAGAGAUCAAGAGGAACACCAGUGGCGAAGGCGGGUCUCUGGACAGUUCCUGACACUGAGACACGAAGGCCAGGGGAGCAAACGGG
rnacentral:rRNA from 1 species